UAAGAUAAUAAUUAUAAGUYUAAUYUGCUCCMUGAAAUUUUAAAUAGCUGCAGAAUUUUAACUGUACAAAGGUAGCAUAAUCAAUAGUUUUUUAAUUGAAAGCUGGAAUGAAAGAUUUGAUAAGGUAAAUAUUGUCUCAAAUUUAAUAAAAUUAGAAUUUUUUUUUUUGUUAAAAAGCAAAAAUAAUUUUAAAAGACGAGAAGACCCUAUAGAUUUUUAUUUUUUUUUUAAAAAAAUAUUAAAAUAAUAAAAUAAAUUUUUUAAAAAAAAAAUUUGAUUGGGGAAAUUAUUAAAUUAACAAAAUUUUAAUAAAAUAUAAACAAAAAUUAUUGAAAAAAUGAUCUUAAAAUUUUAAAUUAAUAGAAUAAAUUACCUUAGGGAUAACAGCGUAAUUUUUUUAAAGAGAUCUUAUUAAUAAAAAAGUUUGCGACCUCGAUGUUGAAUUAAGGUAAAAUUUUAAUGCAGGA
rnacentral:rRNA from 1 species